CCCUCAAGUGAGGAAUACCGGCGAGAAAUCGCCGACAAGACCGCAUAGGCUUCCCGCUCUUGGCUGAGCGAGAAACAAAGUGUCGCUUCGCAAGAAGGGAGACGCUUGAGGAUGGGCCCGUGGCCGAUUAGCUAGUUGGUGAGGUAAGGGCUCACCAAGGCGACGAUCGGUAGCUGGUCUGAGAGGACGAGCAGCCACACUGGGAUUGAGAACGGCCCAG
rnacentral:rRNA from 1 species